GAUGAACGCUGGCGGCGUGCUUAACACAUGCAAGUCGAACGAUGAAGCCCAGCUUGCUGGGUGGAUUAGUGGCGAACGGGUGAGUAACACGUGAGUAACCUGCCCUUGACUCUAGGAUAAGCCCGGGAAACUGGGUUUAAUACUGGAUAGGAACGUCUACCGCAUGGUGGGUGUUGGAAAGAAUUUCGGUCGUGGUUCGACUCGCGGCCUAUCAGCUUGUUGGUGAGGUAAUGGCUGACCACGGCGACGACGGGUAGCCGGCCUGAGAGGGUGACCGGCCACACUGGGACUGAGACACGGCGCAGACUCCUACGGGAGGCAGCAGUGGGGAAUAUUGCACAAUGGGCGAAAGCCUGAUGCAGCGACGCCGCGUGAGGGAUGACGGCCUUCGGGUUGUAAACCUCUUUCAGUAGGGAAGAAGCGAAAGUGACGGUACCUGCAGAAGAAGCACCGGCUAACUACGUG
rnacentral:rRNA from 1 species